ensembl:lncRNA
GUCAUGCCUAUUAUUACUACAUUACUUCCACUGAGACACUGACUAGCCCAUAUUUGCUGAAUGUUGCCCAUGUCAUCAGUACCGUUUGUAAGUGUUUUAUAUUUCUUAACAAUUUUAAUUUUAUUAAUGACACAGGAUACUUUCAGUGCCACUUUGCCAGCCAGAAACUUCUGUGGCCAGUGGCCCCUCUGCCCGGGUUUUACUCCAGCCUGCUCAUCCUGGCAGGCUGCACUCCACUCACUCCCUGGCCUGGAUCCCAUGACCACCAUGGCUGUGUGGUCACCAUGGUCCAUCCCAUGGCAGGACCAGGAGUGCCACAAGUGGCUUCCGUGUCUGGGAGCCAGCAUUCAGACAAGGGGGACGCUGUGGUGCCCCAAAGCUCGGAGACAACAGUGACCACGGAACUCCAAGGAGGUGCCACAGAUUCUGCUCGGGGAGUUCUGAGGUGUGGGCCCCCAGGAAGUGUUACAGUUCUCUCUCAUUCCCGCCAUUCACAGCUCAGCAAACGAGGGCGUGUCACAACUCAUUUGGUCCCACUGCCUGCAGAUGGGCGAGCCAGCCAGAAGCGUGCUACUGCCCUUUUCACUCCCACUAGGCGGCAGGUUCCAGGUUCUCGUUCUGUGACCAAGAAGAAUGAGUGAUCAUAAGACAAGAAAUAUAUAAACAAAAAGUGAAACCAUGAAAAUAGGAGCAUUUAUAGAAUCUGCACUGCAGCAUCUAAUCAGGAGGGUGAGCUGAUUUUUUUUUCCCUCAAACUUAUUCAAGGACAGAGGUCAGCAACCAUUUUCUGGAAAACAGUAGAUAGCAGAUAUUUUUGGCUUUGCAUGGUCUCUACUGCAGCCAGUCAACUCCAGCACUGUAGCAUUAAAGCAGUCAUAGCCAAAAUGUAGGCAAAUGCAUGUGACUGUGUUCCAAUAAAACUUUAUCACAAACACAUGCAGCAGGCUGGAUGUUGCCUGUGGGCCAUAAUUUCCCAGUCCCUGUUCUAGAAUAACGAGUGCCAAGACCUGCCAAUAUGUGCCGAACUUCCUGCUUUCCCACAUUCUCUGAAUUUUUUCCACUGCUGAGAUUCUCGGAGGGACUAAACUUUCUCAAGAAGAUAAUUAAAUUCCAAAUCGGAAAGAUGCCAUGUUUCCUCUAUGUGCUGUGCUUGGGCAUUAACACCAGGCAUUUUCCUUGUGCAGCCUGGCUAAUGUGUAUCAUAAUCUCCCAUCUCAGCAUCGGAUCCUUUGCUGGUUUCCUCCUGGUAGACUUUUCAGUUUUCAAAACCAAGAGCUAAAUCUAAACUUUCCCACAAAUCUUCCAAGAGACUACACGCUGGACCUAAAUUCUAUCUCCAGUGAUUGCACAUCCAGAUGCUCCUAUCACAUCUCACUUCUCAAUUGCUCAGUCCCAAAAUACCAGAGUCACUUUUCACUCUUUCCCUUUACAUCCAGUUCAUCAGGGAAUUGUUAAUACUGCUUGAGAAUACACACAUGCCUCACCAUCCUUGUGCUACCUAAUAGUUUGAGUUAUCAUCAUCUCUUCUCUGAAAUAUUAAAUCUACCAUAUCACCCAAUCUAUUUUCAAUAGAGCAAUUAGGUAAUUUUAAAGCAUAAGUAUAUUAUCACAAUUCUUCCAGGAGUCCUCAGAUCAGAGUAGAAGUCAAGGUCCUGCCAAUGGUAUACAUGACCCUGCUGUAUGUGAUCUGUGCCACCUCCCAACCCUUACAUCUCUACCCUUCUAUCACCCUCACCUAAUCUAUGGGAUCCAGCCACAUCGGCCUCCUUGCUGUUUUUUGACCACACUGAGAACACUUCCACAUCAGAGCAUUCCACAGCCUUAUUUUUUUCUGCACUGGAUGUGCCCCAUCACCUCAAUUUAACUAAUGCUCGCACCUCUUUGUCUUCUUUAGUAUAAUUCCACAUUCUUUGAGUCCUAACUUAGUCAAUCAUAUAUUAUUGCACCCACUCCUCCCUCAUCUCUCAAAAUCCCACCUACCCUGCCUUACUUUUUCCCAUAGCAAUCAUCUUCC